GCUCCCAUGGCGUAGUGGUCACUGCGCUCGCCUUGCACGCGGGAGACCCGGUUCGAUUUCCGGUGGGGUCA
rnacentral:tRNA from 1 species